UACAGAGGUCCCGAGCGUUGUUCGGAUUCACUGGGCGUAAAGGGUGCGUAGGUGGCCUAACAAGUUUGAUGUGAAAGCUCAGGGCUUAACCCUGAAAUGGCAUUGAAUACUGUUGGGCUGGAGGUUUGGAGGGGGGACUGGAAUUCUUGGUGUAGCAGUGAAAUGCGUAGAUAUCAAGAGGAACACCAGUGGCGAAGGCGAGUCCCUGGACAGCACCUGACACUGAGGCACGAAAGCUAGGGGAGCAAACAGG
rnacentral:rRNA from 1 species